CCUGUUCAGGGAGAAAAGGGCUUUGGGUGCUUUGGGGGGGGGGGCUGGGGCCAUGGGGGCGUUCCGGCACCUGGGAUGUGCCUCCUUCCCCAGCCCCAGGUGGGUCGGGGGCUGCCUCCCGCUCCUUCACCUGGUGAGCUGCGUUGGGCACCCCGGCCCGCCAGCCCAAAUGGCUCUUUGUGCCAAAAACUGAAGCCGCUGCUCUGGUGCGGAGGGUGGGCAUCCUGUCUGCCACUAAUCAAAGAAGCGGGCAUACUUUUUGGAAAUUGUUUUGAUGUGUUGUAGCCAUAGGAAAUCUUAGAUGGGUUUUUGCCGUGCCCCCCUCCCUCGCCAGGAGAUUGCAGGGAGGGCCUUUGGGGUGAACGGGGGGAGCUGAUGGCUGCUUCUGCUUCUAGCUGUUAAAGGCCCUCGGCAAGGGUGUUUUCAAUGGGGGGGUCUCAAACAGCAGGGAAGCCAGAGUUGGGGGCCGGGGGCUUCAGAUCCAGAAGCCUGCUCCUGCAGCAGACCCCUUGCCUCCCCAUUGGGGAGGGGGAGGACACGGUGUGCUGUGUUCCCCUCAGAUGGGAAGAAUUUACCUCGGGGGUGGGGUGGGGGGCUUCUAUUCCACCCCUGCUUUGGUCUUGUCUCCUUUUGCGCCUUAGGGAUGCGGGGGGGACUUAGGAAGGGAGAUCCGGUCUUGGGUUCGAGGGGCAUCCCGUUAGGUUCUUUUCUUAGGAAAAAAAAUUCAACUUCAGAGUGUUAAAAGUGGCAAAGUAUUUACUGAUCACUCCUUUUAAAAGAGAAAACAAGUUUUCAUGAGAUGGCCCUGACUGACGAACUAAACACAGUGGGGCAGCAGCUCAUAGCUUGAGGUAUUUGUCCAUGUAAAGCAGGAUUAAAAUUGUGUCUAAAAAAAAUGUAAGUAGUCCUCAUGCUUUUGUGCAGUGCCUUUAGACGUUCCACUUUCUAUAAAGUCUUCAAAAAAAAAAACCUUUGCAUAUAUAUUAUAUAUAUGAUGUAAUGUUAUAGAAAUAUAUGUAUAAUAUACAUAUUUUUUCCAGGGGUAUCUGAUAGCUCUGUAUUUUGUUAUGGAAGUUGAUAUGAGAUAUUUUACCUCAAAUUUUAAAAAAGUUAAAUAAACCUUUUAAGUAAGUCUGUUGGGAUUCCUUCCGUCUCUUUGCUUUCUGGGAGGCUGCAGUGAAUGUCAGAAUCGGCAUCUGGGUUGCAAGGAGGCUGCGAGGCGGAUGGAAGUGCAAACAGCCAGGUCCCCCUGCUCAGAUCUGCGAGUCUCUUGGCGCAAGGGGGAGGCCUCACCUGUCCACCCGCAGGUGGGGCCCAUGGGCCUGCAAGACAGGUGGCCAGCUGCUUUGCUGUGAAGGGGGACCCUCGACAACCACAGAGGUCCUGAAGAGGCCAGUGGGAUCCCAGGCCGGGCCAAGUGAUCUUUUCUCAGCCUGAUGCUUAGGGAAUGUUUCCGCCCAGUUCUAGGAGCUGCAAGGGGAAAGUUGAGGCAACUGGAUAUUUGUUUGAGGCCCGUGGCGGCUUCCUUUACGAGGGUUUUAUAGCCAGGAAGCCAGCUCUAGUGAGAAGGCACCUUUGACCUGGGAGAUUACUCAAUCUUGCCAAGCUGAUCCUCUUGGAUCCCCUCCCAUCAGCUCAAGGGCAGAACCUCCCCUUCCACACCUCUCUCUUCCCUGGAGGAAGGAAACUGCACAGGGCACCUCGGUCAGCUUCCCUGGGUGUUCCCAUGUUGUCCACUCUGUCCUGGCCACAGCUUUGGCCUUUAGCCCAUCCAGAGCUCUGCGUGUCCCCGUCAAAGAUCAGCCAGGGCAGGGCCAGUGGAGCAGACCCUGCAGACGGUUGCAGGCUGGGCACGGGAGGCACACUUUGCCCCAUGAAACGACGUGUGUGGGCCUCUGGAUGAGGAAAACUCUGCCUGGGUUUGCCCAGGUUUCCCAUCCUGGCUGGCUGAGACUCGGCUGUGAUUCAUGCGCUGUCCCUCCCUGGAGCGCCUGUUGGCGCUUCCUCGCAGGAGGGCAGGGAGCAGCUUUCUUUCAGCACGGCUUGCGGCAUCAUUCCCCACAGUGAGCCUGUCGCCCAGGGAGUCACACGGGACUCCCAGGCAGGUUGUGCCAGCUGGGCCUCAAGGCGGGCGAAGAAGGGCGCUAACCGAGAGCGGCUUCAGGGCUGCACAGAGGGCAGUUGGGGAAACGCCACUUUGGCUUGAAACUCGCGUUUACUUCAGGAGGGAGAACUGGGUGCUCGGACUUCUCCUGGGUUCCCCACCUCUUUUCAGCACCCUGGCCCCUUUUCUCACCGUCUCCUGGUUCACACCCUGGCAAUGCCCAAUCUUUUGCAGCCGUGCUGCGGGACGCUUCAAUCAAACACAGCCGUGCGUUGCAAGUCACAGCCGCACUCGCAGGCUAACGAACUUGAUACGCUUGCAAAAAGUAAAAAUCUCGAGAUCAACAAAUUCAUAGGCUCAUCCUGGCCUCCAUUGCUCCGGUCACCCAAAUGCUUCCCAUGGAGCUCCCAUCAGGAGCGUGGCCUGUUCCCCUGCAGGCUGCAGUCAAGUAGGCCAAGAACACGAACUCGGAGCCUUUCGUAGGAUUCCUGCCUUAGGCAAUGAAAACCACCUCCGGCUCAGGUGCUUCAAAAGAGCCAGCGUCUCCUGUUCCUCCCAGCAGCAGUUGGGGCUCCAGAUAUUUUAAAAGUAGCAGCCAAAAACAUCCCUUGGGCCUGGAGGAUUGGAUCGCGGAUCCUGGCCCAGUGGCUGUUACUUCUGCCUCCGGUAAACAUGGUGCCAGGCUGGCUUUAUUGCUUGGAGGCUCUUGUGUCCCAAGGGGUGGCGACCGACAGCUGUCAACUUCCACUGCAGAUGCAACAUGGACAAGUACCACGCUGUGGGAAUGUGAGACCCAGGCAAAAAACCUGGCAGUUUUGUUCGCUGUGCCAGCUCCCCUUUUCCUCCAAAACGCCUUCCGGCAGCCUCCCCGAGACUUUGGGGCUGCCUCUCUCGCCUCCUAAGCAGGAUGUGGCGCUUCCUGGAAACUCCUUGCCACAUCUUUAAUCAGCCAAACUUCCUCCGCGUGCCAGUCUGGGGCAGUGAUUGUGUAUGGAGACGUGUGCUGGGGUUCCACCCUUCCCUGGAUCGGGAGCCAGCUUCUCUGAGCAAAUUGCCCCCACCUGCUUGGUGAUCCUGGGAUGCAGCUUCCAAAUGGAACCGGAGGCUGAAGGGGGACCAGGCAGAUGCUUGAAAAUGCCUCUGGCCAUUGGAAGGUCCCAGCGGCAUCCUCGGAAAGGCCACGAUCCAGCCUCCUCCCCUCUGUCCGGUGAUUUUCCCACGUGAGGCUUCCGUUCUCAGCAGGGGCAAUGGCCCUCCUCUGGCCCGACUCCUCUCCUGCCACGGGUGCCUGGGAAACGGCUGGGCCCAUUGACAAGACCAGCCUCUGAGCUUUGCCAACAGAUGAGCACCUUGCGAGAUGCCCCCUCCUCAAAGCCCCUGCCCAUCAGGUGUCCCUCUGCUUCUGGCUCCUUCCAUCGGCUGGUCUCUUCAGCCCGAGUGAAUUUCUGGUGGAGAGAAUGACUUGAACCCCUGGCUGGCCGUUGCUGUUGAUUAAUUAGUAUGUUCUUCUUAAUCAGAUCAGCUCAGGAUAGCUUAGAAAGCUAAGAAGAUACACAGACGGUGUGGGUGGGUGGGAGAGUGCCCUUCCAGGUUUUGUCCAGUCUCCUCAGUCCCCCUCCCCUUGGCCGCAAAGCCAGCACUGUGAAGCCUGCAGUCAGCUUGAUGAAACCAACAUAAGAGGUUUUGGACAAGCAGCAGCCCCUGACAUUCUUGCUUGGCUCAGUGGGGCUAAGCAGAGUGUGGGGGGAUUUGGCAGAGGGGGAGAGAGGCUGCAAGCCGAUUCCAGGCUCUUCCUGCAUGCCAGCCAGGCCGGCUCAACUGGAAUUCUGCUUGCAAGGCAAACAUGUAUUUAUGUAUGCGGAAACCACCUGUUGGAACCUGCUGGUGCCCCAAAUUGGAGGCUGAGGAAAGUGUGAAAGAAGGAAGUUGGAUCCGUCUGAAAGGAUUUUCCAGUUUAUGUGAUUCCUUCAUGCCAGCGGCCCUUUCCGAGUUUGCUAAGCCCACAGUUGACGCUGUCCCUGUCUGCUCAAAUGCUCGGAGUGCCCACAAGUGCCUUUGGUCGCCCAUUCUGUCACAAAGAGAGGACCAACGCAGGCUGCACACACCCGAUUGCUGCCUGUGGCGUCCUUUGAUGGAGCAGGCCGGGCCGCAAACAAGCAAGCCCAAGUCCCCCGGAGCCAGCUGUCCUCAGAUCCCAAACUGAGUUUCACGCAGACCGCGCAGAGAAGGUUGGGCACCUUUGGGGUAUGACUGAUGCUUUCGCAAAGCAAACACAUUUGAAGCAAAACCGUUUUUCCAGCCUUUUUCCCCCAAAACCGCUGCGAACUGGGCUUUAACACGGACUCAGCUUUUGUUCUCCUAUAAACGAAUCCUCUCCUCC